UCGCCUGUUUUAACAAAAACAUUGCUUAUAGAAUUUAUUAUAAGUAAAACCUGCUCAAUGAUAAUUUUCAAUAGCCGCAAUUUCUGUGCUAAGGUAGCAUAAUCAUUUGUUUUUUAAUUCAAAACCGGAAUGAAAGGUUAAACAUUUAAAUUUCUAUAACUUCUAUUUUUUAUAAAAUUAUAUUAAAUAUAAAAAUAUAUUUAUAUAAAAAUUAGACGACAAGACCCUAUUGAACUUUACUUCUGUUAAGCUGGGGAAGCUUAUAAAUUAAAAUUUUCAUGAAUUUUUUAUAAAUUUUCCAAUCUAAUUGAUUUUUAAUCAAGUUACCAUAGGGAUAACAGCGUAAUCUUUAUUUAAAGUUCUUAUUAAAAUAAAAGUUUGCGACCUCGAUGUUGAAUUAAAUUUCCUUUAUUUCGCAACAGAAAUAUAAGUAGGUCUGUUCGACCUUUAAAAAUUUACAUGAUUUGAGUUCAAACCGGUGUAAGCCAGGUUGGUUUCUAUCUUUUUAUUUUAUUUUCUAGUACGAAAGGACAAAAAAUAAUAUUUUUAAUUUUAUAUUGGCAGAAUAUUGCAUUAGAAUUAGAAUCUAAUCAA
rnacentral:rRNA from 1 species